AGAGUAUAGCUCAGUGUUAGAGUGUAUGCUUAGCAUGCACAAGGUCCUGGGUUCAAUCCCCAGUACCUCUG
rnacentral:tRNA from 1 species